UGGCCCCUGACCCAGCAAACUUGAUAUCAUUGGGGGUGAAUUCGGCAGUGCUGCCAAAAUCAUACCCCCCUAUAUUAAACCCUUAUUAUUGAAUCUAAACAUCUGUGCUUUUUUGCAGGUAUUCUACGGGAUGAGAUGUGUCUCCAGAAUGAGUUUAUUUGGCCCCUGACCCAGCAAACUUGAUAUCAUUGGGGGGGGUAUGAAUUCGGCAGUGCUGCCAAAAUCAUACCCCCCUAUAUUAAACCCUUAUUAUUGAAUCUAAACAUCUGUGCUUUUUUGCAGAUAUUUUACAGGAUGAGAUGUGUCUCCAGAAUGAGUUUAUUUGGCCCCUGACCCAGCAAACUUGAUGUCAUUGGGGGGGUAUGAAUUCGGCAGUGCUGCCAAAAUCAUACCCCCCUAUAUUAAACGCUUAUUAUUGAAUCUAAACACCUGUGCUUUUUUGCAGGUAUUUUACAUGAUGAGAUGUGUCUCCAGAAUGAGUUUUAUGGUUCUCUGAAACAGCAAACGUAAUAUCAUUGGGGGGGUAUGAAUUCGGCAGUGCUGCCAAAAUCAUACCCCCCUAUAUUAAACUCUUAUUAUUGAAUCUAAACACUUGUGCUUUUUUGCAGAUAUUUUACAGGAUGAGAUGUGUCUCCAGAAUGAGUUUAUUUGGCCCCUGACCCAGCAAACUUGAUAUUAUUGGGGGGGUAUGAAUUCGGCAGUGCUGCCAAAAUCAUACCCCCUAUAUUAAAUGCUUAUUAUUGAAUCUAAACACUUGUGCUUUUUUGCAGGUAUUCUACGGGAUGAGAUGUGUCUCCAGAAUGAGUUUUAUGGUUCUCUGAAAUAGCAAACGUAAUAUCAUUGGGGGGGUAUGAAUUCGGCAGUGCUGCCAAAAUCAUAACCCCCUAUAUUAAACGCUUAUUAUUGAAUCUAAACAUCUGUGCUUUUUUGCAGGUAUUCUACGGGAUGAGAUGUGUCUCCAGAAUGAGUUUUAUGGUUCUCUGAAACAGCAAACGUAAUAUCAUUGGGGGGUAUGAAUUUGGCAGUGCUGCCAAAAUCAUACCCCCCUAUAUUAAAUGCUUAUUAUUAAAUCUAAACACUUUUGCUUUUGCUUUUUUGCAGAUAUUCUACAGGAUGAGAAGUGUCUCCAGAAUGAGUUUAUUUAUGAAUUCGGCAGUUGACAAAUAUGCUGUCAAAUAUGAUGUAUUUCAUGUAAAUUAAAUUCUGUUAUGCUGUAUGAAGCACACAUGUGCAUACAACCAUGUACAUACUAUCUGUGUAUUUUAUUGUACUGUACUGUAAUUGCUUUAGUGUACUGCUGUUGUUGUUUCUGUGUACUGAAAAGCUCCUUCUGUUACAAGAAAUUAUUUUUCUGUGUAAACAUAUUUGGCAAUAAAGGUCUUUCUGCUACCUCUGA